UGGGGAAUAUUGGACAAUGGGCGAAAGCCUGAUCCAGCCAUGCCGCGUGUGUGAAGAAGGUCUUCGGGUUGUAAAGCACUUUAAGUUGGGAGGAAGGGCAUUAACCUAAUACGUUAGUGUUUUGACGUUACCGACAGAAUAAGCACCGGCUAACUCUGUGCCAGCAGCCGCGGUAAUACAGAGGGUGCAAGCGUUAAUCGGAAUUACUGGGCGUAAAGCGCGCGUAGGUGGUUUGUUAAGUUGGAUGUGAAAUCCCCGGGCUCAACCUGGGAACUGCAUUCAAAACUGACUGACUAGAGUAUGGUAGAGGGUGGUGGAAUUUCCUGUGUAGCGGUGAAAUGCGUAGAUAUAGGAAGGAACACCAGUGGCGAAGGCGACCACCUGGACUAAUACUGACACUGAGGUGCGAAAGCGUGGGGAGCAAACA
rnacentral:rRNA from 1 species